GAUUACAAAGGUCUCAGAGUGCCAGGGGGCCGAUGGGGCCGAUUCUAUAUAAAUAGAGUUUGUUGUUUAUUUUGUUGAAUGUUUCUAUAUCAUAUGCCACCUCAUCUUGAUUGCCAUACAAAGUUAUGACGUUGGGUUACAUGACGUAUUUCAACGCGAAAAAUGAUGAUGUAAAAGGUACGUAAUUUUGACGUCAUCUUUAGUCAAAGUGACGUCCUUAUUGUUUGGAAAGCACCUGUAGUAAUGGCCGUUCCAUGGAUGCGGAUGUUUCCACCUGAAUCCGACAGGGGUCCUUGCUUUUAAGAAGCUCCUAGGCCUCUUCAUAUGCCACCCGGGGAUUCUCGGCCAUUUUCAUAUUUCAUGAUUCUUUUUCCCGAGACACUGAUGAAGGAAAUAGUUCGGCACACCAACAGCAUCCUGCCUACGACCCUGCCGCCAGAUUUCGUCCUCUACUUAACUUCGCCAACAGACAGUUCCUGCGCUUCAUCUUACCGAGGAGGGAAUUGUGUGUUGAUGAAUCCUCGGUGAGCACAAAAGGCCAUAGUGUGAUGCGCCAGUACAUCCCCUCCAAGGCCGCGAAGUACGGAGUUAAGUUUUGGAUACUCUGUGAGUCAGCGUCAGGGUACGUUCUUCAAAUGGCCAUAUACAGAGGCCGAAAAUUCGACCCAACUCCGCGGAGGGAGCUACAGGGCAGUAACGUUGUAUACAACCUACUGAGCGAGGCGUCCCUGCUUGACCGUGGUUACCAUGUGUUUGCUGACAGUUUUUUCACUUCGAUGCAUCUUGGAAGAAUGCUGCUGCAGCACCAUACCUAUGGACGGGUACGCUACGGAAAAACAGACCGAUGCCCCUGACUAUACGGAAUGCGGAUCCGCAGCCAGUGGCCGCUGUAUACAUGAGACAGGGCAACUUCCUGUGUCUGACAUCUCGUGAUGUAGAGGGCAAAAAGCCGGUGCUCUACUGCCAGCACAGGACCUUGCGUGUGGGCGUCCUAGAAUGGUCAAUGCGUAUAACCGUGAUAUGGGUGCCAUUGACAUGAAUGAUGGCUUAUUGAGUGCAUAUGGUGUCCAGCGCAAAACCAAGAAAGUCUGGAAAAAGGUGAUUCUACACAUUUUCCACAGAAUUAUGCAAAAUGCAUACAUAUGUUUUGUCAAGAUGUGCACGGAUGAAGGACUGGAAACCGGUUACACUUCCAGAAUUUCGUCAGUUUCUGUCUGUUAUAUUCAACAUGAGCCUUGUAAGGAAAACAAGUACAACAGAAUACGAAGAGGACAUUGUUGUGUAGAACAGUGGCACGUCCCAUUUCGUAUAAACCUUGUAAUUUUCUGUUAGAUUUGUUCUGCAUAUAUGUACUAUAUAUAUAUACGUUUUUUAUGAAAACUUGUUUUCAUAUGUGUUUCAAUCUACGAUUAAUUUUUCUUUGCACAUUAUUUGUUACAUAGAGAGUUAAAUUCCAUAAAACAGAGCUUAGUUUAAUGUUAAAUGAAUUGUACACGGGAUUAAGCACAAGUUUUGUCAACAAUGAGUUGUGGCGCGAGCCUGAUCCGCGGUAGACCUACAUGUACUAGUCGUACCCCUUUUCCUAAGUCAGAGAAAUCAAACGUUGAAAGACAACACUUGCAUCAGUUUUCUAAAAAAAAAACACUCUUACAGAAAGUUCAGAAGAAAAAAAAACAUAGAAAUAUCCAUAAACUUGAAAUUCCACCAAUCAGUAUCAGGAAAGUAGGAAACAGUACUCAGCGUAUAUACAGUUUAUUAUGAUACAUGUUUGCUAAAGUUGCUUAUAUUCGUCUGAAGUGUAACGCCACUAUGUUAACGUUGUUUAUAUUCAGGACCAUCUUUAAUUGUUAUUGUGUUCCCCAGCAUCGUUGGCUCGUUCUGUUAAAUCGGACUUUAGUACUACCGACACAUGGCGAUUUUAGACGUGCGUCUAGCAUUUUAGUUUCCAAUAAUAACGUACUUUAUAAUAGUUGUCAAUGA
rnacentral:lncRNA from 1 species